rnacentral:rRNA from 1 species
CGUGCACGCUGGCGGUAGGCCUAACACAUGCAAGUCGAACGGCAGCACAGUAAGAGCUUGCUCUUACGGGUGGCGAGUGGCGGACGGGUGAGGAAUACAUCGGAAUCUACUUUUUCGUGGGGGAUAACGUAGGGAAACUUACGCUAAUACCGCAUACGACCUACGGGUGAAAGCAGGGGAUCUUCGGACCUUGCGCGAUUGAAUGAGCCGAUGUCGGAUUAGCUAGUUGGCGGGGUAAAGGCCCACCAAGGCGACGAUCCGUAGCUGGUCUGAGAGGAUGAUCAGCCACACUGGAACUGAGACACGGUCCAGACUCCUACGGGAGGCAGCAGUGGGGAAUAUUGGACAAUGGGCGCAAGCCUGAUCCAGCCAUACCGCGUGGGUGAAGAAGGCCUUCGGGUUGUAAAGCCCUUUUGUUGUGGAAGAAAAGCAGCAGGUUAAUACCCCGCUGUUCUGACGGUACCCAAAGAAUAAGCACCGGCUAACUUCGUG